GAUGAACGCUGGCGGCGUGCUUAACACAUGCAAGUCGAACGAAGCACUUUAUUUGAUUUCCUUCGGGACUGAUUAUUUUGUGACUGAGUGGCGGACGGGUGAGUAACGCGUGGGUAACCUGCCUUGUACAGGGGGAUAACAGUUGGAAACGGCUGCUAAUACCGCAUAAGCGCACAGCAUCGCAUGAUGCAGUGUGAAAAACUCCGGUGGUGUAAGAUGGACCCGCGUUGGAUUAGCUAGUUGGUGAGGUAACGGCCCACCAAGGCGACGAUCCAUAGCCGACCUGAGAGGGUGACCGGCCACAUUGGGACUGAGACACGGCCCAAACUCCUACGGGAAGCAGCAGUGGGGAAUAUUGCACAAUGGGCGAAAGCCUGAUGCAGCGACGCCGCGUGAGCGAAGAAGUAUUUCGGUAUGUAAAGCUCUAUCAGCAGGGAAGAUAAUGACGGUACCUGACUAAGAAGCACCGGCUAAAUACGUG
rnacentral:rRNA from 1 species